rnacentral:rRNA from 1 species
UACGUAGGUGGCAAGCGUUGUCCGGAUUUAUUGGGCGUAAAGAGCGUGUAGGCGGCCAUGUAGGUCCGUUGUGAAAACUCGAGGCUCAACCUCGAGACGCCGAUGGAAACCAUGUGGCUAGAGUCCGGAAGAGGAGAGUGGAAUUCCUGGUGUAGCGGUGAAAUGCGCAGAUAUCAGGAAGAACACCCGUGGCUAAGGCGGCUCUCUAGUACGGUACUGACGCUGAGACGCGAAAGCGUGGGGAGCGAACAGG